rnacentral:rRNA from 1 species
UGGGGAAUAUUGCACAAUGGGCGCAAGCCUGAUGCAGCCAUGCCGCGUGUGUUAAGAAGGCCUUCGGGUUGUAAAGCACUUUCAGCGGGGAGGAAGGCGUUAAGGUUAAUAACCUUGGCGAUUGACGUUACCCGCAGAAGAAGCACCGGCUAACUCCGUGCCAGCAGCCGCGGUAAUACGGAGGGUGCAAGCGUUAAUCGGAAUUACUGGGCGUAAAGCGCACGCAGGCGGUCUGUCAAGUCGGAUGUGAAAUCCCCGGGCUCAACCUGGGAACUGCAUUCGAAAAUGGCAGGCUAGAGUCUUGUAGAGGGGGGUAGAAUUCCAGGUGUAGCGGUGAAAUGCGUAGAGAUCUGGAGGAAUACCGGUGGCGAAGGCGGCCCCCUGGACAAAGACUGACGCUCAGGUGCGAAAGCGUGGGGAGCAAACAGG